UUUGCACUUUCAGCUCUUGGCUGCUAGAGCAGAAGCCCUUUUCCGUCUCAAUUUACUUGAUGAGGCUGAUGUUGCAAUCUCUAGUGCCUCCAAAUUGAAUUAUACAUCGUCAUGCUCCCCAGACACCAAAUUGCGGGUUUAUUGCCAACGCCUACCUCUUUUAUGUACAUGCCCAAGUUGACAUGGCAUUAGGAAGGUUUGACCAUGCGGUGUCCUCCAUAGAUAAGGCUAGAAUAAUAGAUCCAGGAAACACUGAAGUGGUAACCAUGCAUAACAAAGUGAAAUUCGUGGCCAGAGCACGAUCUCUAGGGAACGAGCUCUUCAAUUCUGGAAAAUUUUCAGAAGCUUGCGUUGCUUAUGGUGAAGGGCUGAAACAACACCCUGUGAAUAAAGUCAUGUACUAGCUUGUAGGUUCAAACUUGAAUAGUGGGAGAAGUCAAUUGAGGACUGUAAUGAAGCUCUCAAGAUUCAACCUAAUUAUACCAAGGCUUUGCUCAGGCGGGCAGCAUCUUAUGGCAAGAUGGAGCGAUGGGCAGAAUAUGUGAAGGACUGUAAUGCCGUUUUGAUUCACUGUUUAGAUUUGGUUCUCAGAAAUUAUGUUCAUUUUCUUCUCUAUUUAUACAUAAUGCAUAAUGACCCUUCAUUGCCAUAUAAUUUGUUACGUACAAUAUAGUGUUGUUGUUUUAUGGAAAAUAUAGCUUCAUGCAAAGUAGCUAAUAAUGUAUGAGUUUUCCAUCUGAGUGCUUCUGCCACAAAUAGGGUUCGUAAAAAGUA